AACGAACGCUGGCGGCAUGCCUAACACAUGCAAGUCGAACGAGACCUUCGGGUCUAGUGGCGCACGGGUGCGUAACGCGUGGGAACCUGCCUUUAGGUUCGGAAUAACUCAGAGAAAUUUGAGCUAAUACCGGAUGAUGUCUUCGGACCAAAGAUUUAUCGCCUUUAGAUGGGCCCGCGUUGGAUUAGCUAGUUGGUGGGGUAAAGGCCUACCAAGGCGACGAUCCAUAGCUGGUCUGAGAGGAUGAUCAGCCACACUGGGACUGAGACACGGCCCAGACCCUGCGGGGAGGAAGCAGGGGGAAAUUGUGAAAAAUGGGCGAAGCCCUGACCAAGCAUUGCCGCGUGAGUGAUGAAGCCUUUGGGGUUGAAAAGCUUUUUUCCCCGAGAUGAUAAUGACAUUAGCGGGAAAAUAGGCCCCGGCAAACUCCGUG
rnacentral:rRNA from 1 species